UACGAAGGGGGCGAGCGUUGUUCGGAAUCACUGGGCGUAAAGGGCGCGUAGGCGGCCCUCUUUGUCGCGUGUGAAAGCCCCGGGCUCAACCUGGGAACGGCGCGCGAAACGGGGGGGCUGGAGUUCGGGAGAGGAGAGUGGAAUUCCCAGUGUAGAGGUGAAAUUCGUAGAUAUUGGGAAGAACACCGGUGGCGAAGGCGGCCCCCUGGUUGGAUACUGACGCUGAUACGCGAAAGCGUGGGGAGCAAACAGG
rnacentral:rRNA from 1 species